CCAGAGCACGAUCGUUGUUUUGGGUAUGUGGUGCCCCUCCGCCAUCCCACCCGCUCCUAACACCUCGCACUGUGCAGCGUAGACGCAAAGGCGAACUUGCUCGCUUUCUCGGUGGCGAGCUCGCUGCAGAAUGCCACCGCCGCCGCCACUGCCAUCCUCCGCCUCGUCCUCCGCCCAACCGCGGUCGUCUACCCGCAAGCCAGCAUGCCAGCCGCUCAGCAUCGAUGAUGUCACCAUUGACUUCUCCGCCGUCGCGGCGAGCAGCGGCGGGGCCACGGCCUCCACGUCCGCUGCGUCUGGAGCAAACCCCAGUCUCCUCGAUAUUAUGGCAACGCAGCAGCAGGAGCACGAUGGGGACGGGGGUGCCCAGCAUCGCGGCGGUGGCCGCCGUUACCAGGGCGUGUCGGACGUUCGCGCCUUCGACCCAGGCCUGCAGGGCGUCAUGCAGCGGUACACCAGCAGGGUCGCCAACGCAGCGGGCUCCGUUGGCGGCGGCCCGGCCCGACGCAGAAAGAUCGUCUUCGGUGCGCAGCAGCAGCAGCAGCAGCAGCAGCACGCAUCUGCAGAGGAGCCAGCGCCGCAGACUCCCUCGACGGCACACUCCGUCGAACCUGUACCGCCGUCGUCCCUCGAGGCCUCUCAAGCAGCGCUUGACUUCCUCGUAAAGGCGCAGCAGCAGCAGCAGCAGCAGCAGCAGCAGACCUCCGCGGCGGCGUUGCAGCAACGCCGCGACGCCUACCUGGCACAGCUACGCUCUUUUUGCCAGCGCGGACGCGGCGCGGACGGCCACCGCGCCGGCAGCGCGCAUGCCGAGGCGCCGGCCACGGCGUUCCCUGACGGCGGCAAUGCGCAGACCAACUCGCUUCUGCGGCAAAUCUUCGCGGACGGCGUCCCCGACAUUGAGCCGUGGGACCGCUGGACCUCGACGAUGCCGCGCUACGGCAGCGCCAGCAACAGCGGCGGCGGCGCACACCUCGUCGUGUCGCCGCUGACGGCCACAGUGGCACAGAUCCGGGCGGCGCAGCUGGAUCUGGUGCAUCACCCCGUGAUUCCGGACACGCACUACACGCAGCACUACGAGUACCGUGACUUAGAGCACCCCGUUAUCCAGAAGGAGUACAAGACGAAAGAGCAGCUGCGUGCCGAGCGGCGGGAGCGACUCAAAGAAAAGCAGGCGAAGGCGCAGCAGAAGGCAGCGGCAGCCUCCGAUGCAGGGGCGUUGCACGAUACCACCAGUAGCAGCCGUGGUCCGACGGCGCUCGCCUCGUCGGCAGCGAGUCGCCUCCUGCACGACCGACUCUCCACGAAGAACCUUGCCCUGAACCUCUUCGGCUCCAGUGUGCUGAACCCGCUGGCGACAGACACGAAGGUGCUGGAGCAGUACGAGCUGCGCAACUUGGAGCACCAGCGGCGCAACCACGACCGUCACGUUGCCGCACUGCCGGAUCAAAUCCUGAAGCGCGCGCGCGAUCAGCGGCGCCACGCCACGGAGGCACCGCUGCUGCGCGCCUACCGCGUCUUCCCGAUCUUCUCCGCGGCCCACCUCGGCAAGCUGCGCAACUUCGCGAACGAUAACUUGCUGCGCGGCUUCGUGUUGUACGUUGGCGACUGCGACGCGGUGAUCGUCUUGGCCGGCGGCGAGGUGGCGGCGCGGCAUCUGGAUCGAUGGAUCAUGCACAAGAUGGCCUGGGAGCACCCCGACACGCGCGCCGUGCGGCUCUGCAGUGUGCCGCUGAUGGACGCAAGGAGCUUCUCCUUUCACCUGAAGAAGGCGCAAGGGCAGCCGCACAAGAGGACCAAGACGGCGGCCGGCAAGCGCGACGGCAGACUGGACGACGUGGACGGCGAUGACGCGGCAGAGCCGGUCUUCAUCAACAUGGUGCCCACCGUCGAGGAGGCGGAGGCGUUCCUGCGUCGGCUUCCCGCGCCGUCGAGCCCGUGGUCGGAUUUGUGUGGAGUGUGGCGCGCUGCCUUCUUGCAUGACGGACUUCAGCCCGCUACCGGAGGACAUCACUAAAGAGGCAAGCCGCGGGCGGUGAGAUGGCGUCGCUGGUGGUGGUGGUGGUGGUGGUGGUUCGAGCAUGCACACAUACACAGCUGGCAGUCUGACCUCUCUCACAACGGAUGCGACUUUCAGCAGCAGCAGCAGCAGCAGCGACAGCCCCUGUCAACCAACCACGCAAGCCGCCAUCUUUUCCUUUAGGAUGCGAUCACGCCUACUUAACCCCACCCCCUCUCUCUCUCUCUCUGAAACCUGUGGUGCAUGGCUACCAAGGCCCUCCCCAUCCU
rnacentral:misc_RNA from 1 species